UACGUAGGGUGCAAGCGUUAAUCGGAAUUACUGGGCGUAAAGCGUGCGCAGGCGGUUUUGUAAGUCUGUCGUGAAAUCCCCGGGCUCAACCUGGGAAUUGCGAUGGAGACUGCAAGGCUAGAAUCUGGCAGAGGGGGGUAGAAUUCCGCGUGUAGCAGUGAAAUGCGUAGAGAUGCGGAGGAACACCGAUGGCGAAGGCAGCCCCCUGGGCUAGCACUGACGCUCAGGCACGAAAGCGUGGGGAGCGAACAGG
rnacentral:rRNA from 1 species